AUUGAACGCUGGCGGCAUGCCUUACACAUGCAAGUCGAACGGCAGCACGGGAGCAAUCCUGGUGGCGAGUGGCGAACGGGUGAGUAAAGUAUCGGAACGUGCCCAGUCGUGGGGGAUAACGUAGCGAAAGUGACGCUAAUACUGCAUACGAUCUAUGGAUGAAAGCGGGGGAUCGCCAAACCUCGCGGGAAUGGCGAGGCCGAUAUAAGAUGAGGUAGUUGGGGGGGUAAAGGCUCACAAAGCCGACGAUCUGUAGCUGGUCUGAGAGGACGAACAGCCACACUGGGACUGAGACACGGCCCAGACUCCUACGGGAGGCAGCAGUGGGGAAUUUUGGACAAUGGGCGAAAGCCUGAUCCAGCCAUGCCGCGUGCAGGAUGAAGGCCUUCGGGUUGUAAACUGCUUUUGUACGGAACGAAAAGGUUUGGCCUAAUAAGCUGAGCUCAUGACGGUACCGUAAGAAUAAGCACCGGCUAACUACGUGCCAGCCGCCGCCGUAA
rnacentral:rRNA from 1 species